rnacentral:rRNA from 1 species
CUGCUGCCUUCCGUAGGAGUUUGGGCCGUGUCUCAGUCCCAAUGUGGCCGGUCACCCUCUCAGGCCGGCUACCGAUCGUCGCCUUGGUGGGCUCUUAUCCCGCCAACUAGCUAAUCGGACGCGGGUCCAUCGUAUACCACCGGAGUUUUUCGCACUGGACCAUGCGGCCUUUGUGCGCUUAUGCGGUUUUAGCACCUAUUUCUAAGUGUUAUCCCCCUGUAUACGGCAGGUUGCCCACGCGUUACUCACCCGUCCGCCACU